GUCUAUAUGAAGUUAAAUAAAGUCUAUUCUGCCCAUUGAAUAAAAUAUUUAAAAGGCCGCAGUAUCUUAACUGUGCAAAGGUAGCAUAAUCAUUAGUUUUUUAAUUGAAGGCUUGUAUGAACGAUUGGACAAGAGCUAAACUGUCUCUUUCUUAAAAAUUGAAUUUUAUUGUUAAGUGAAAAAGCUUAAAUGAAUAAGAAGGACGAUAAGACCCUAUAAAUCUUCAUAAAAUUUAGUCUCUAAAAAAAGAUAUUCAUUUAAAAUUUUUUAUAGAUCUAGAAUUAUUGUGCUGGGGCGGUGUUAAUAUAAAAAUAACUGUUAAUAUAAAAAACAAAUGUAUUUGAUAGUAAAAGAUCCUUUACUAAGGAUUAAAAGAAAAAGUUACUUUAGGGAUAACAGCAUAAUUUCUUUUGAGAGUUCAAAAUCGAAAAAGAAGUUUGUGACCUCGAUGUUGAAUUAAGAAUUCCUUAUGGUGCAGCAGUUAUAAAGGAGAGUCUGUUCGACUUUUAAAUUCUU
rnacentral:rRNA from 1 species